GGCUGGCCGCUGAUCGCAUGGUCUUCUGGGAAGCUUUCGCGGUAUGGGAUGGGGUCGCGUCCUAUCAGCUUGACGGCGGGGUAACGGCCCACCGUGGCUUCGACGGGUAGCCGGCCUGAGAGGGCGACCGGCCACAUUGGGACUGAGAUACGGCCCAGACUCCUACGGGAGGCAGCAGUGGGGAAUAUUGCACAAUGGGCGCAAGCCUGAUGCAGCGACGCCGCGUGAGGGAUGGAGGCCUUCGGGUUGUAAACCUCUUUUAUCGGGGAGCAAGCGAGAGUGAGUUUACCCGUUGAAUAAGCACCGGCUAACUACGUGCCAGCAGCCGCGGUAAUACGUAGGGUGCAAGCGUUAUCCGGAAUUAUUGGGCGUAAAGGGCUCGUAGGCGGUUCGUCGCGUCCGGUGUGAAAGUCCAUCGCUUAACGGUGGAUCCGCGCCGGGUACGGGCGGGCUUGAGUGCGGUAGGGGAGACUGGAAUUCCCGGUGUAACGGUGGAAUGUGUAGAUAUCGGAAAGAACACCAAA
rnacentral:rRNA from 1 species